rnacentral:tRNA from 1 species
GUCUCGGUAGUGUAAGUGGUAGGGAGCACGGUGCCCGUAAAGUACAGUCACGGGUUCGAGUCCCGUCCGAGGCU